rnacentral:rRNA from 1 species
AAACGACUCUCGGCAACGGAUAUCUCGGCUCAYGCAUCGAUGAAGAACGUAGCAAAAUGCGAUACUUGGUGUGAAUUGCAGAAUCCCGUGAACCAUCGAGUUUUUGAACGCAAGUUGCGCCCGAAGCCAUUCGGCCGAGGGCACGUCUGCCUGGGCGUCACGCAU